rnacentral:lncRNA from 1 species
CCAUGUUUCAGAGCAAGGUAAGAAUAUUUUGACAGAAUGUGGACGAAGCCCACACCAAACACAAAUGAAUUGGGAAUUACUGCUUAAUAUUUUGAGUAGAAUCAGCUCGUUAGCCUAUUCUCUUCAAGUAAAAAAUCUGUCCUGCCUAUACUGUUUAUCAGUCUUGACAUCGUGUUACAAAAAGCAUUGGAAAAGAAAACCAUGCGAUAACACAAAAGUGGAUGCCACACCCAACUGGGAAUGCAGAAGUUAAGACCGCGAGAUCACUGAACAGAGACCGCGCGACGCAGAAGAAAAUCGAUAGAUUUCUUUUAUGUUUUUGUACAAAAAUUUAUAAACAAAGCACAGGCUGCCACGUUGUUGACUUAUGUACUUGCCCUCCAUCUCCAGUGAACAACAGAGGUCGCGCUAGUGAAAGAACAACAUCGUCCGAUUCAGUGAAACAAACAAUAACCGCGCGCCUAACUGAAACCAUACCACCACAUUGUUGGCUGUUGAUAAAGUUCUCUCGCGAUCCAUCAGAAAACCAAUAUCUAUUUAAAGCAGAAGCAGAAGCCUUUCACUUUAGGCUAGCCCUGCAACUCCUUUUGCUUUAGCGAUGAAGAUAUUCUCAAAGACACUCUGCGCGACAGACAUCAACAGGAGAUGUGCGGUUGGAAUGAACUACUUCAAAAUGGAACGUUUCCCAAAAUUACAAGGCCAUUAUAAGGUGGAUUUUGUUGUCAAGGAUGAGAGCGGCCGUAAGUGGAUCUUUUGCUGCUCUACACGUAUCACAAAGAACCCAAAUCACCCGAAACACCCAAAGCCUGUUCUCAUCAAGGAAUGGAUUCCAUUUGUUCGUAGUAAGAAGCUUUGUGUUGGUGACAGAGUGACCAUCUACGCGGAGCUUGAUGAAACAGGUUCGACAAACUAUAGGGUUAAAGUGGAGAAGCGAACCAGCCCUUCUAAAGCUGCUUCAUCUCAUGUUAUGAACCACAACCCUGAUGGAGACAACAGUUCAUCCAGCCACAACAGUGACAAUGAAUCAAAAGCGACCUUCCAGCCUUCCAGGGAUCUUUUGCCUGAAGUCCUGAACCGUGACCUAGGUGGAACUACUGCUGCAACAGGCUCCAGCUUUGACAAGGAGCAACUACCAACCAACCACAGCAUUUUUCAAGUUAUUAAAUGCUACAAGACUGAAAGGAGCUUGAGUUUGGAAUUGACACUGAAACCAACCAUGACAGGGGGAAGCACAGCUGCAACGAGCUCCUGCAUUUACACAGAGCAAACACCAAACCCCCACAGCACUUCUCGAGAUAUAAAAUGCGACAAGAUCACAAGGCCUAGCCUGAACUUGAGUUUGGAAUUGGCUCUGACACCAACCAUGACAGGGAGACCACAUCAUGCUUAUAUGCAAUGGACAGAACCCAAAACCAUCAAUUUCUUUGGGAGCUAAUUAUAGGGCUUGAAAGCAAGGCUGGAAGUUACAAGACUUGAGAGGAAAGAGCAACCAAGCUUUCCAAGCCUUAGUAAAGAGAUGGAUGGGUGCUUAUGUUAAGCUCCCUUUUGUUCCCUUUCAUGCAAAUGGUGUUGUACUCUCCUAGGAUGUAAAAUACUACUAGCGCUAGUAUUUUCCUGAGAUGUGAAAAACUACUAGUUCUUGUAUUCUCUUAGGACGUAAAAUACCACUAGUGCUUGCAUUUUCCUUGGAUGUAAAAUACUACUAGUGCUUGUAUUCUCUUAGGAUGUAAAAUACUACUAGUGCUAAUUUUGUUUGAAAAUGUUGUCUCUGAUUUUGUCUGGAAAUUGUUUUGGUGUGAUUAAUUAUAUGAUGAGUAGCAUUUUGCUAGUUUUGAUUUGUAUUUUUCCUUUUUCAGAAUUUUAGGGGGAGUUGAUGAAUGUUAUAAGGAAAGUUAAUACUAGCCUUGAAUUGAGAAGAUGAACUUUAAAGAGUUUCCAAUUAAGUAGUUCUUAAUCCAAAAAAUAUAGUAAAAUUAUAGCAGUAAAUGAUAAUCAAGCAGUAGCAAGA